CUCCCCUCCCAGGCUGAAUCUCGUGCCUCGAAGCGCGCAGCUGCCAAUGGCUUGCUUUCUGCUGCCUGAACUCUCCCGUCUGACUCAUACACCCCUCCUCUAGUUGAAGACUGAAAAGAAACAUUUCCAAUGGUUACAAAAAUGUCAGAGCAAACAGAAGGAGAUUCCACUGCCCAGCCUUCUGGCUCAGGGAUGGCUCCUUCUGCCAGGACUCAUAAUGCCUGUCGUACUUCUAAGUGGCUUGUGCUUGUCAGCAAUCCUACUGCCUCGGUAGACAAUGGAAUUUGAGGACUCAGUGGUGAGUCAGACCACUCCUUGCUCUUCCUGGAGCUGCUGUUCGGGGGAAGGAACAGAAAGACAAACAAGGAAGCCCAGAGAUAUGCCAGGAUGAGAAGGUUUUAUCUCAUUUGUCACCUCCACUGAAUUUGAAGUGGCUGUUUGGAGCUUGCUGUGGAGCAGGAAUUGGAAUGGCUGUGACUAAUAGGUUUGAUGAUCGACCCCUAAGAUGUCAGACUGGCUGCCAGGAGGCUUAUGUGGUUCCUGCACAGUAAGAUGGCCCCAUUCUCAGCUAUCAAUCCAGAGAAAGUUCUGUGCCGGCUUGCAAGGCACAGGGUCUUUGGGGCUGCUCCCCUAAGCUGGGACUGCAAACAGGAGUGCUGCCUCCCUCUUGUGGACACCUGCAGUUCUGCACGACGGCAAUGUGACCUGCCCUUGGUAGGACUUCACCUACCCACCUUGAACUCCAGGAGUAAGGGAUGAAAGUCUCAUCACUGAGAUCCAGAUCCACUGCAUGAAGAACCCAAUGGCCUGUUUGGCCAGCUGCAGAGACCCAAAGCUAUCUCAUCUAGACAUCGGCUUUGGGCCUUGGAGUAUCCUUUAGAGUGGGCAGGGUGCAGACCU